AUUGAACGCUGGCGGCAGGCCUAACACAUGCAAGUCGAGCGGGGUUUUCGGACCUAGCGGCGGACGGGUGAGUAAUGCGUAGGAAGCUACCCGAUAGAGGGGGAUACCAGUUGGAAACGACUGUUAAUACCGCAUAAUGUCUACGGACAAAAGUGUGGGACCUUCGGGCCACAUGCUAUCGGAUGCGCCUACGUGGGAUUAGCUAGUUGGUGAGGUAAUGGCUCACCAAGGCGGCGAUCCCUAGCUGGUUUGAGAGGAUGCUCAGCCACACUGGAACUGAGACACGGUCCAGACUCCUACGGGAGGCAGCAGUGGGGAAUAUUGGACAAUGGGCGCAAGCCUGAUCCAGCCAUGCCGCGUGUGUGAAGAAGGCCUUCGGGUUGUAAAGCACUUUCAGCGAGGAGGAAGGGUUAGUAGUUAAUAGCUGCUAAUUUUGACGUUACUCGCAGAAGAAGCACCGGCUAACUCUGUGCCAGCAGCCGCAGUAA
rnacentral:rRNA from 1 species